rnacentral:rRNA from 1 species
UGCGCGCCUUCCGGCUAACCUUGAGAUAUGCGCCUUGGCCUUCACGGGAGAGGAAAGAGUCGUAGCAGCGGGGCGUUUGGAUCGCACGAGGGGCGGCGGCUGCUGUCGCGGGGUCGGGAGGUGAGGCCGCUGGCCGCCACGUGGAGCCGCAAGAAGAGGGGGUGCAUAAGUUGGCGCCGUCCGUGAGUCGUUAGUCCGUUGUGAGUCCGGAUCAACUGCUAUGUUCUACCGCGGUGAUCGUGCAUUCGUGGCGUUCCGUAGUGGAAGGGGGAGGGGGAGCCUCCGAAGAAGGUUAAGUCCGUCGCUGAGACUUGAGGUGGAACUACUGGUGAGGCUGGGUCUCCUGUCGAAGAAGAGGUGUUCCUCGCGGCGGCUACUGCUGCAGGUCCUUAGGAGGUGGUCACUGCUCCUCCUCCUGCUACUCCUCUCGGAGGUACUCCUCCUCCUACUACCACUCUACCCUCUCGAGCUCGUCGUCAUAGCGUGGGAGGUCCGGUUAGUUGUUUCGUAAGAAGUUUGGGACUUUGUUGUGUCCCUACUACUACAGAGUUCUCCGGUCCGUUAGUUUUUGGUUUUCCGCGAUACCCUAUUCUGGGACCUUUACUCUAAGAACGACGUUUUCCGUAAGAGGUGAAGUUUGUUCGAAGGGUUCCUAGGUAGGUUCAGUUCCAAGACGUCAGUACUAGUCCUCUAUCUCGUUCGUAUACAACUAGACAACCUGAGUAGCUUUGUCUGAGAGCCAACGUACGACCUCGACGUCUUCCGAAAUGACCUCGUCUUAGUCCGACGUUUCCCACGCUUGCUAUGUAACGGACUGAGCUUACCUCUCUCACUGCUCACCAACGUUCAUGUCUUUAACGUAUGUUCUUAUUGGGGAAAGUCUUUAUGGCUCUAUCUAUUUACCGUCUCCUUUUGUGUGCAGUGUUGACCUCGACGACGUGACUUUCCUUUCAACGUGCGUAAAUUAGUCUUGUAUUCACUGGUUCAACGACCAAUGUACUCUCUGGGUUCGUCCUACUAAGUGGCCUACAUGAACGCCUUUAGACUACAACCACAUAAGCCCCUCUCACGUCGUCUCGGACGAUGAUGGCAACUCCCCUUCCUACACCUUCCACUAGGACUUGAAUAACUACUAAGACUUAAAAUGGUAGUUGAAGAGUUCCUCAAAGAGCUCAGUACACUAUUACCUCGUAGACUCAGACGUAAAAUACGAGAUUCCUUCUUCGUCUUGUUCUUCUCCUUUGAGCAGCUAGCGGCGCGAAGUUUCUCGUCUUUCUAUUCCAUGUCGCAAGUGCUCUUCUAACGAUUAAAGUACCGGGGCCACGGAUACUGCCAAGGAGGUUACCGAAGCUUUAACAAGCUCUUAAACAAACCUUACCCGUUGGACGUCUUCAGUCGGCGCCAGACUAAAAUUCUCUACAGACUUUACAACAAUUUCGAUCAAAGUGCACUACCCACCAUUAUACACUUUGCCUUCAUUAUGGUGUUUUGAACAUGGGUCUGUACGGACCGGAUACAUACUCCUACUCACAGUACUUAUAAUGAGGGAGGCAGGGUAUUAUAUCCUGCAAAGACCUGUGAUACGAUCACAGUUUUUUGCAGAAUGUAAUACCCUGCCUCCUUCAUCAACGACUAGACUAAUCAUUCUACGGAAGCUUAAGAAGUAGACAAUUUGUAUUGUCUCUUAAUCGUUCUCUUAACAGCGACAUAAGAAGUUGACACCUGAUACUUCGGUUCAAAGAAAAACGGGGAAAAAAACACGAACCCAUACCUUCGUUCCAGUAUCGUAACGAAGACGUUUCGUUAUUUGUAGUUGCGGG